UAUUGAUACCAACAAAUUGUUAGGUGGAAUAUGUUGCUUUGUUUUUAUAUACGUGUGGGUGUGUAUAUUUGAUUAAAAUGAUUUAUUAAAAAUAUAAAGCAAUAAUCGCCGUCGACAGAGCAACUGGUGUUAUACUGCACUGUUUCGGAUUAAUAUAAUAUUUUGAGUUGAGGUUCAAAAUGGAUUGAACACUUCAGGUAUAUUUUUCACUGCUUUUCCGAAAUCCGGCUCGAAGGACCAAAAUUUCGGGAUAUGUCGACGAUAUGUGGCCGAUUCCGUAGAAAUGAAAAAUAGGGUUAAUUUCAAUCCUUCUAAUUUAUUCUUUUUACAAUUGGGUAGAUAUAAUAACCUGUGGUGUGAGGUUCCUAUUUAAUUGGCGGUAUAGCUGGAUUUGGGUUCCCUUCGAUCUUCCUUGCGCUCUGUGUGCUGUUAGUUAUAAAACUAAACUUUUAUGCCGAUGUUGGUGCUGUUAUUCAUUCCUGCAUUGUCCUUCUUUCGCCUUUCGGAAUUUAAGAGGACAAUGCACGGAUGUGUUUGUUUGGAAUAAACAACAUAUAUAAAAAUAGUGUUUAUAUUUUUCUGAAGAUUUAAAAAAAAAUAUUUAUUGAAGAAAUAAAAAAUAAAAGGAUAUGCCGGUCCCCACACAUCAAACAUACAUACCAUAACAUAUUACUUACUCACACCUUUGCUAUAUUUGCACCUCAGCAUGCCAUAGUUUUGAAUUUCCUGCUCAUUCUACAUGAUACCGAAUUAUUGCAAAAAUGAGUCAUGCAACUUGUUUGACUAGAAAGUUUAUAUUUGCAGUUUCAGUACAAAAUAAUUUUUGUUCGAGAUUGUGACUCAAUGUUAUUACUUACUCAAUGCUGUAUCAUUUGAAUAAAAUACAAGAAGCUGUUGUGAAGAAUAAAGCAAAUGAAGAAUAUAGCUAAAGAAGAGCAAUUCAGCACAUAUGGUGUUUCCCCCAAAAAUCACUACUUACAACCCAAUCUUCGUUAAUAAUCGUUAUAUAUCCCAUGCGUUAAUAAUCCCAUAGGUCAACGAGGUAAAUACCUGGGUGUAACAAUUGAUGCCAAACUGCCCUGGAAAGCUUACGCCAAGGAAAAACGAGAAGAGCUUGAUUUAAAACAUUAAUUAAAUAAUAACAUAUAGUUACAAUCUCGAACAAAAAUUAUUUUGCACGGGGGGUGCCAGUACUGGUAUCCCCUGUCCACUCGAACAUGUUGCGCGACUCAUUUUAGCAAAGUAUGAGAUUAAUUCAAUAUCUUGUGGACUGAGUAGGAAAUUGAAUAAUAUGGCAUGCUGUUGUACAAAUACAUCAUAUGUUUCAAAGGUCAGUUGAUGUGUGAGUUCAAUAUGUGUGUUUGAUGUGUGAGCUCGUUCUGAUACCUGUAGCGCGCUGGUGACUACAAUGCUUUAUUAUUUCAUUGAAUUAUUCAAUGAUUGCUUUUGCAACAAGAUCCGUAGAUACUUAGCAUCAGAUUCAAAUUUUGGAACCAGGAUCUCCGUACAUUCACUUUUUAGUUUUUAUUUUAAUUAUAUUUCAUAAUUACUUUUUCAAAAAUCUUCAUAAAAACUAUAAACGUUACUUUUAAUUUUGUAAAUCACAUACAUAUGUAUAUGUACAUAUGGGCGUACAGGGUUUGAUUGGAAAGUAAUGAGCCUUCCCGCGCGGAGCGUCUGCCAACACCGGAUUUACACACGGAGACAUCUGGAAGGGAGACACUGGAAAUUCUCUUUUCAUGUCUUAUUCGCGGCCACACGGGCAAAAUUGUUUUCGGCAACAUUUUGACAUUUAAUACUUUAGCAUCGUCUGGUUCGGAUGUAUUCUAGCACGCGCUUACAUGUAAAGCAGAGAGCGUUC